rnacentral:rRNA from 10 species
GCAACGGAUAUCUCGGCUCUCGCAUCGAUGAAGAACGUAGCAAAAUGCGAUACUUGGUGUGAAUUGCAGAAUCCCGCGAAUCAUCGAGUCUUUGAACGCAAGUUGCGCCCGAAGCCUUUAGGCCGAGGGCACGUCUGCCUGGGCGUCAUGCACUGCG